rnacentral:rRNA from 1 species
GUGCAGCAGGCGAGAAUUUUUCACAAUGGGGGAAACCCUGAUGGAGCGACGCCGCGUGGAGGAUGAAGGCCUUUUGGUCGUAAACUCCUGUCAAACGGGAACAAGAAAGUGAUAGUACCGUUAGAGGAAGAGACGGCUAACUCUGUGCCAGCAGCCGCGGUAAUACAGAGGUCUCAAGCGUUGUUCGGAUUCAUUGGGCGUAAAGGGUGCGUAGGUGGCAUGGUAAGUUGAAGGUGAAAUCUCGGAGCUUAACUCCGAAACUGCCUUCAAUACUGCUGUGCUUGAGGACUGUAGAGGAGAAUGGAAUUCAUGGUGUAGCAGUGAAAUGCGUAGAUAUCAUGAGGAAGACCAGUGGCGAAGGCGAUUCUCUGGGCAGUUCCUGACACUGAGGCACGAAGGCUAGGGGAGCAAACGGGAUUAGAUACCCCGGUAGU